GGGGGAUAACGUAGGGAAACUUACGCUAAUACCGCAUACGACCUACGGGUGAAAGCAGGGGACCUUCGGACCUUGCGCGAUUGAAUGAGCCGAUGUCGGAUUAGCUAGUUGGCGGGGUAAAGGCCCACCAAGGCGACGAUCCGUAGCUGGUCUGAGAGGAUGAUCAGCCACACUGGAACUGAGACACGGUCCAGACUCCUACGGGAGGCAGCAGUGGGGAAUAUUGGACAAUGGGCGCAAGCCUGAUCCAGCCAUACCGCGUGGGUGAAGAAGGCCUUCGGGUUGUAAAGCCCUUUUGUUGGGAAAGAAAUCCAGCUGGCUAAUACCCGGUUGGGAUGACGGUACCCAAAGAAUAAGCACCGGCUAACUUCGUGCCAGCAGCCGCGGUAAUACGAAGGGUGCAAGCGUUACUCGGAAUUACUGGGCGUAAAGCGUGCGUAGGUGGUCGUUUAAGUCCGUUGUGAAAGCCCUGGGCUCAACCUGGGAACUGCAGUG
rnacentral:rRNA from 1 species